GAUAGCCCAAAUCAAAAUAAAAUGAGGCUACCCUCAAAUUAUACCGCCUUCACCCAUCGUAUCUCUCCCUCAUUCACAUUCUUUAUUUUAAUUCUUCCCCAAAUUCACCUUCCAAUUGAAAUCCCUAAAAAAGGAAUAGAGAAGCCGACGCCUCUCUCCCCCACGCCUCUCUCUUCUCCGGCGUCGGCGUCGGCGUCUCUCUCCCUCACACCAGCUUCCCAAUUAACAUCAGUCUCAGCGUCGCAGCAAGGCACAAUACUGUAGUCGUGCCUCUCGGCCACCUCCCAAACCAAAUCCAUCUAUCUCUCUCGCUCGCUGGCUCUCUCUCCCUCGCCGCCCUUCGCGUUGCCCCGCCUGCACAGCCGCGUCGCUAGCGAGCGACGCCGACUCUUCUCUGUAUCUCUUUCCUCUCUCAUCGCUCUCUCUUUUCUUACGCCACAACCGCUGCUGCUUCCGAUUCCGCGCCGGCAAUGAUAUAAUCACUCUCCGGCUGUUAAAGAUUGGAUCUUUGGAUGAAUCUGGAGAUGGGCGAAGCAGCGGCUAGAAAUGCCAUGAUAGGGAGAUGGAGGUGGUGGGUCUGCACAGAUGCAGUCGGCACCGUCGGGCUUCUCUCUUCUCCAUUCCUAUUAUUUUUCUUCUUCUCACCGGUCUCCUUUAACAGCAAGCACAUUUUCUGUCCAAUGUUGGCAUAUUGAGAAAUGACAAAAAGGAUAAUCACAAUA